UACGUAGGCAGCAAGCGUUGUUCGGAGUUACUGGGCGUAAAGGGUGUGUAGGCGGUUGUUUAAGUUUGGUGUGAAAUCUCCCGGCUCAACUGGGAGGGUGCGCCGAAUACUGAAUGACUAGAGUGCGGGAGAGGAAAGUGGAAUUCCCUGGGUGUAGCGGUGAAAUGCGUAGAUAUCAGGAGGAACACCGGUGGUGAAGGCGGCCUUCUGGACAGUGACUGACGCUGAGACGCGAAAGCGUGGGAGCGAACAGG
rnacentral:rRNA from 1 species